rnacentral:rRNA from 1 species
GGUUAAGCGACUAAGCGUACACGGUGGAUGCCCUGGCAGUCAGAGGCGAUGAAGGACGUGCUAAUCUGCGAAAAGCGCCGGCGAGGUGAUAUGAACCUUUGACCCGGCGAUGUCCGAAUGGGGAAACCCAGUGUGUUCCGACACACUAUCGUUAACUGAAUACAUAGGUUAACGAGGCGAACCGGGGGAACUGAAACAUCUAAGUACCCCGAGGAAAAGAAAUCAACCGAGAUUCCCCCAGUAGCGGCGAGCGAACGGGGAGCAGCCCGGAGUCUGAAUCAGCUUGUGUGUUAGUGGAACGGUCUGGAAAGUCCGACGGUACAGGGUGAUAGUCCCGUACACGAAAACACACUUGCUGUGAACUCGAAGAGUAGGGCGGGACACGUGGUAUCCUGUCUGAAUAUGGGGGGACCAUCCUCCAAGGCUAAAUACUCCUGACUGACCGAUAGUGAACCAGUACCGUGAGGGAAAGGCGAAAAGAACCCCGGCGAGGGGAGUGAAAAAGAACCUGAAACCGUGUACGUACAAGCAGUGGGAGCACCUUCG